rnacentral:miRNA from 1 species
UGAGGCAGGAGAAUCACUUGAACCCAGGAAGUGGAGGCUGCAGUGGGCCGAGAUCGCGCCACUGCACUCCAGCCUAGGUGACAGAGCGAGACUCCAUCUCA